CAGUCGCCGCGGUAAUACGAGGGGAGCUAGCGUUGUUCGGAAUUACUGGGCGUAAAGCGCGCGUAGGCGGCUUUUUAAGUCAGAGGUGAAAGCCCGGGGCUCAACCCCGGAAUUGCCUUUGAAACUGGAAAGCUAGAAUCUUGGAGAGGUCAGUGGAAUUCCGAGUGUAGAGGUGAAAUUCGUAGAUAUUCGGAAGAACACCAGUGGCGAAGGCGACUGACUGGACAAGUAUUGACGCUGAGGUGCGAAAGCGUGGGGAGCAAACAGGAUUAGAUACCCCCGUAGUCCCUGUCUCUUACAC
rnacentral:rRNA from 1 species